UAAAUCCCCACCACUUUAACUCCUAUUAAAAUCAAAUCAAUAGACCUUAUAGGUGAGACACUAGCUCAAGUUACCUUUGCAGCUAGACAUAAAAUAGUUAAACCUCUUUUUCUUGUUCUAUCAAUGUUAGGCAUCAUUUCCGGACUCCUCAUUUUGUAAGAUGCAAUUGUUACUGUUACUAGCAGCUUCUUUGCCUUCUAUCUUU
rnacentral:lncRNA from 10 species